rnacentral:rRNA from 1 species
GAUGAACGCUGGCGGCGUGCCUAAUACAUGCCAGUCGAGCGAACGGACGAGAAGCUUGCUUCUCUGAUGUUAGCGGCGGACGGGUGAGUAACACGUGGAUAACCUACCUAUAAGACUGGGAUAACUUCGGGAAACCGGAGCUAAUACCGGAUAAUAUUUUGAACCGCAUGGUUCAAAAGUGAAAGACGGUCUUGCUGUCACUUAUAGAUGGAUCCGCGCUGCAUUAGCUAGUUGGUAAGGUAACGGCUUACCAAGGCAACGAUGCAUAGCCGACCUGAGAGGGUGAUCGGCCACACGGGAACUGAGACACGGUCCAGGCUCCUACGGGAGGCAGCAGUAGGGAAUCUUCCGCAAUGGGCGAAAGCCUGACGGAGCAACGCCGCGUGAGUGAUGAAGGUCUUCGGAUCGUAAAACUCUGUUAUUAGGGAAGAACAUAUGUGUAAGUAACUGUGCACAUCUUGACGGUACCUAAUCAGAAAGCCACGGCUAACUACGUG